rnacentral:rRNA from 1 species
AAAGCUCCGGCGCCCAAGGAUGGGUCUGCGGCCUAUCAGGGUUGUAGUGGGUGUAAUGUACCUACUAGCCUACGACGGGUACGGGUUGUGAGAGCAAGAGCCCGGAGAUGGAUUCUGAGACACGAAUCCAGGCCCUACGGGGUGCAGCAGGCGCGAAAACUUUACAAUGCGGGAAACCGUGAUAAGGGAAUCUCGAGUGCCAGCAUAUAAUGUUGGCUGUCCAGAUGCCUAAAAAGCAUCUGUUAGCAAGGGCCGGGCAAGACCGGUGCCAGCCGCCGCGGUAA